AUGGAAUGGAAAGAGGUGAGAACUCUAGAUGGCGUGACAGUUUUUGCUAGUUUUUUGUCAUCUCAUUCUAAGACUUACGUCACUGAAAUAAUGAGAAACAGCGUCUACUUCUCUAAAGUCCGUUUCUAUGGAAAGCGUUGCAUAUCGUUCUCUCUUGAUGACCACAGAUAUUAUCCCAAUAAGCUGUGUCAUGAUUGGAUAGAACCAGAUGCUUUUGAGAGCAUAUGGAUUGAACCACCUAAAGAAUUUGUUGGCUGGAUGUAA